rnacentral:rRNA from 1 species
UACGUAGGUGGCGAACGUUAUCCGGAAUUACUGGGCGUAACGGGCGCGCAGGCGGCUGUUUAAGUCUGACGUGAAAGCUCCUGGCUUAACUGGGAGAGGUCGUUGGAGACUGAAUGGCUUGAGGCAAUGAGAGGGGUGCGGAAUUCCCGGUGUAGUGGUGGAGUGCGUAGAUAUCGGGAGGAACACCAGUGGCGAAAGCGGCAUCCUGGCAUUGACCUGACGCUCAUGUGCGAAAGCGUGGGGAGCGAACGGG